AAAAAUUACAUAAAAUUGGAACAACACAUUUGAUAUAUAAUUUCUAAUAAGCGGAGGACGUGAAUACGACGUCGUUAGAUGAGGCCCUUCCCGCCGCUUGGAACUCACUCCUCACCUCUUCUGCUUGCAAAAAAGUGCUUCUCAUCGCUUCUCCGGCGGCGGUCAGCACGCGUUGAACAUUGAGCAGUAUGAAAUUGGCCAAGAAUUGAGAACGAAGCUAACUGAGUUCAGGUUUGUCGUUUGCUUUACUUGAAAUAAAAUGACAUUCAUAACUCAUAAGGGCAUAGAUUGUGUAUUGUCUGUUUUACUUGACAAAGGUUGAAGCAGAUAUCAUCAAGCAGCAAGAAUCAAAAAGGGUAACUUCAAAGAGCGAAGUUGAAGACAAAGGUUUAAAUAUCAUUGGUCGACGGUAAAGUUUCCCUUAUAUUAUUCCCAACCCAUAUUAAGAUGAUGAUCAAUGGGGCAAUGAUUGAUCAACACACAUCUGUAGAAAUCCAUCGUUCAAUGCCUUCCAAAGUGUUUUGUUCAUCUCGUUUCUUGCAUUGCUCCUUUAACUCUCCCCGUGUCUGGGAAGGGUUUCCAUAUUCAUUGCUUUUCAGGCUUUCCCUCAAAGUUGUAGAACGCUUUCACUAGGAAGAGGUUUCCACACCCUUAUAAAAAAUACUCCGUUCUCCUCUCCAAAGGUGUGAGUAUCAAUACGAAUUAAUCAACUGACUUGAUAAUGAUAUAUGUUGCAGUUCUAAUUUGGCUACAUCACUUUUGUUCACAGUUACUCUUGCUUCAACUUAGUUUACAUCGGAAACCAAAGAAGCAGUGGAAUUCACAGGUAUAGCCCAAUGGAACUGAAACUUUCUCAUCAUCUAGAGUAUUUACUCAAACAACUUGCAUCUUUAACUCAAUUUUAUUCUAAAUAUUGAAUGACAUAGGAUUAGCUGUUAAAUGUUAAAUAUUAUGAUGCAACAGUCUAAGCUCACUAAGCUCACUGUUAGUAAAUAUUGUCCACUUUGGCAUGUUACAUAUCACUGUCAGACUCAUAGUUUUAAAACGAGUCUGCUAGGGAGAAGUUUCCACACUCUUAUAAAGAAUGUUUCAUCCUCUUCAACUGAUGUGUGAUCUCAUGAAGAUGAUCUCUGUCUAUUAUCAUCGAUUAAUUCGAUUGAUGAAGUUUAGUAGCUUUAAUGUUCAUUUCUGAGUUAAAACACUCUGCUUUCACUUACCUCUUACCUUUUUCCCGUUUUUGUAAGUAUGUUUUAAGCUUAACUUCAAACAUCCAAAGGAGGUUUUUAUGGGGUUUAGCUAAUUGCUGUGGAAUUUGUAUCGAAUACUCAAUUUGGAGACUAGCUACCAUCUCAUAUAGAUGAAGAACGUGUAACUUACGUUGUAUUAGUUGACUUAUGUUCGAGUUA